CUUACCGCCAUCUUUAUCCAUCACUCAGGUGAGCAGUUAAGUCAGCCACACUUGAAGAACAGGUGGGCCAAGUUCGUCUGUAAAGAGGCAACAAGCUGCAUCUUUGUCGACAGAUACAUUAUCGACACCACUGUCACUUUAGGAAGAGAUGGGCCAGAUUAAUCUAUAAAGAAGCAACAGGACACAUCUUUGGUUGAAAGAUAUGUUAUCAACACUGCUGCCACUUGAAGAAGAGAUGGGACAAAUUCAUCUAUAAAGAGGUGACAGGAUGCAUCUUUGACACAAGAGGACCAGCCUUCACUCACGUAAGGAUGGCUCAUGUGGUGUUUCCAUUCCGGUGUCAUGGUUGGGCAUUUAUUUCUACAGGAUUGUGAAGACUCUCUUUUUGAUGACUCCAUCUCCACUUUUGGGUUGCUUUGAAGUAUAGGCAGUUGUUGCCAGUAGGAUUCUCCUCCACUGAAUCAGACGUCCCCCAAUCCAAAGGGAUUCGCACGCCAAUCUGCAUUUGUACAACAGCCAAUAGGAACGUCCCCUCUCUGAGAUGACCUGUGAUUGGCCAAAGUCUUCCAUCUACUGCUCAAUUUUCUGAAGCCUGAAAGAAGAGCGAAGAGGAGGUGCAGAAGUCUAGUGUUCUCUCAGACCAAUUAAAUUAUAACAUGCUUGAAGGUUGUUAUGGUAUUUUUACCCAGUGACGCCCAAAAAAAUCUGUCUACCCUUGCUUUAAUCAAUGCAGCAGUGUCUGAGAUAUCCUGACUUUUAGUAACUAGUAUAGGUCAAACUUCAAAAAUGCUCGACAUCACACAAUGCAACUCCUUACCACCAUUUCAUCAGAUCCUUCCUGCUUGGUACAUGUACAAUUCUUUCAGAUGGCACCCUUCUGGUUUGUAAUACAGACAUUUUUUUCAAAGGUUUAUUGUUGCCAAAGUUCAACAGACACUUUUUUCACAAGGAAAUUAGGUAAUAAACCGAGCUUGAUGUGCUCGGUGAUGUCUCGGUAGGUUUAGGUUGUCAUGUGAUUGUGUGUAUUCUUUGCUGUUUGUUA